UCAAACCUGAUCAAAUUCCGCUCUGGACAAAUUUGACCAUUCUUUCUUUCACUACAGUCCAAUUUCUGGCGACGGAGCUUUGGUGGGGAGCAAAGACGACGAUUACAGCACCGGAUGGAGUCGGAACUAAGAACCUCCGGCUACCACUCUCCUGACAGAUCCGUGCUGCGCAACCGUUGCUGCAAUCGUCGUCUUGGCUGUCCACCAAGCUCCGUCCGUCACCAUACAUGUCAAUUGGAUAUCGAGUUAUCGAAUAUUUUUAAGAUCCGUUGGUAAUAUUCUGAUCGUCAAUGCUAGUGCUUCCGAGUGAAGUGAAUGACCAGUAUGUGAGGAACAAAUUGAAGGGUGUUCUAUUUCCAUUUCUGUACAAGUGAGCCAGUAGGAGGCAGGCUUUCCUAUAUAUACCAUAAUCGAUGACAUCAAUGCGGUGGACCUAUACAUUUCAUAUGCAGAAAUUGGUACCUAUACCUUUUAGUUUCUUAAGGCUCAAGAGCAACAGAAGUGUUUUCAAAAUGUCAUCUAAGAUGCUGUUAAAAAAUAACACUCCUUUACCACAUUUAGCGUGCGACAUAAACUGUUUAGCCCUGAAGCACUAAACUGGUUGUUAAUCAGGGGAUUGCUUGGCUGGUUUGCAAUCUGCAAUGCUGAAAGUGACAUAGCUAGCUCUGGAUACCAUUGCUGGACGUUGUGGCGUAUGCAGGGUAUAAUUCCGCAGGGUUGUGCUUGCCCGUAUUUGGACAGGUUCUGUUGAGUUGCUCAUAUUAUUUUGUAUGCCUUGGACCUGUUUAUUUAUGUGUGGAAAGUCUUCUUGGAGAAGACUAUAAAGGGAGAACUCUAUCAAGAGAGUCCACUUUAGAGAGGUGAGGGGUUAUGAUUCAUGCAAGUAUACAUUAUCUGUUGCUCUUUAUUGCUUUGUCUCAGUAACCACUUUUUACAUGGCUUGACAAUCCUAAUAUGAAUUGGAUUAUGUAACAUUGUUUCUAUUUGUAUACAAUUUUCUUUUUAUUCA